rnacentral:lncRNA from 1 species
UUUUUUUUUUGGAGGGUAGCUGAUACACGAGUCAGUGGGAUUCUGUAUUUAAACCUUUUAAAAAAAUCAGGAAAUCUCUAUAUUACUAUAAUUCCUAUUGAAUUGUGUUUUGUAUAUUCUUAGUGGUGUCGAUCACUAACAUUUGGGGAAAACAUCAAUUCAAUACGCUACGAGGGGAAAAAAAGAGAGUCAACUGUCACUCAAAAACUGUCUUAACGUAGUGGUUAUAUUCUCUAUGGAACUGUCAAAUCCCCUUCGUUUAUCUUCUCCCAUUAACAAAAGUCUUCAUCAUAAAGACAUUCAACUUUAAUACCCAGAUUAAUACCUCAGUAAUCUGCAGUCUGAAACAACGUGACAUUGGCGGAAUAGCUUCAUAAUCAAGCUCGUCGCCAGUAAUCAAAGAAGAAGAAGAAGAAGA